UUCCGCCCUAAGAGAACGGAUGGAGGGAAAGAAAGGCAGAAGGGACAGAAAAGGCAAUGAAAAAAAGAACAGCAAUGAGAACUUGAAAGGUUUUGAGAACAGCUGCUUGCAGAAAAUUAUAGAUCCAUUUAAGAUUAAGGGAAAUAUAGUUUGGAAGGAAGAAAAGCAGUGAAACUAGAGGUGGAAAAGUAAAAAUUUUUUUUUUUUUACCAUAAAAUUUAUGGUAUAAGGUGAAUGGUUAUUAGCCGAAACAAGCUUUUCACUUCACAAGAUUUUAAUUAAUGGACUGGAGUCUUGUGGAUUAUUGUGAUGUUUUUAUCAGCUGUUUGGCCUCUCAUUCUGACGGCACCCAUUCACUGCAGAGGAUCCAUUGGUGAGUAAGUGAUGUAAUGCUAAAAAUCUCCAAAUCUGUUUCGAUGAAGAAACUCAUCGGUACAUUUUCAGUAAGUUUUCAUUUUUGGGUGAACGUUUCCUUUAAAAACAAUGGUUUUCUCAGCAUUACCACAGAAGCACCUUUCAGAGAAACAUUCUAAAAAUAAUUUUUUUUUUUUUUUUUUUUUAGGUGUGAGGAACAUUUAAAAAAACUAAAGAGCAUUUUUCCAUUAUGAAGAAUCUUUUAUGGAAUGGAAAGCCUCCACGGAUGAUAAAUGCUCUUCAUUGAACCAUUGAUGCCAAUAAACAACUUUUAUUUAUAAGCUAUAUGCAAAUACAUCCCUAAAGGUCCUUAAUAAGGCAGACAGGUGUUUGUUAUUAAGAGAAAUGAAGUCUGUGGAAAAUGGAAAUGUGAAGACAUCACUCACUCGCUCUCUCUCAGAGCUUCCUCUCCAGCUGCUGCAAUCUUCCUGUAACAGUAGACCAUCUCCACCAACAGCCACAACUGCAGACCAAUAAUGGACACGUACAUCAUGAUCUCGGAUAAGAUGGACGCCAUGCCUCGUGUAGCUGGGGGUUUCAGCACUGUCAGUAUUAUGUAAGAUCUCAUCAUUUACAUCAGUGCUGAUGUGGGCCUGACUCAGCCUCUGACAGGAAGUUAAAGACACUAGUUGAACAAUCCCUGUCAGCAUACAUGACACGAUGGCUUCGUCCAAGUGGACAGACAUUUUCUUACAUGGACAUGUGACCUGUCAGAUUCCUCAGAAGCUGAUUGUGAAAAAUUACAAUUUGAUUUGAUGAUUGUCUGUCUAUUUUACAUUGUAUUAAAAAAGGAAAAAUGUUUGUCCAAAAUACUCUACAUCAUCUAGAUUUUCCCCUAUAAAACACAAAACUAGAUAUGUUGCUGAAUGAAUUGCCUUGUGAUCACUGGCUUUAAAACUUGGUCUAAAAUAGUUUU